ACGGCGAUUCAGACAGUUAGCAGGCCGAGCAAUUCUUCUAUUCAGGCUAGAUGAUUAAGGCAUGCUGUUGUCUGUUACUAGUUAGGGAUAAAAUGGGAAGGCCUGUAUGAGUCUAUUGGUCUUUUCAAUGAAGUAAAGAGCAGUGACAGAGCAAGGCAUUAUUAACCUGGUGGUGUAAUGGCACCCUAAUGUUUCCCUGUCAGCCUCCCCAUAGAGGACUAUCAUGACGACUAUUCUGAGCAGGGCUGCUAGUGUUCAUUCAGAGGAGGUAGUGUUGAUUCAAACCUGGUAGUGUUGAUUCAGAGCUGGUAGUGUGUUAAUUCAGAGGAGGUAGUGUAUUGAUUCAGAGGAGGUAGUGUGUUGAUUCAGAGGAGGUGGUGUGCUGAUUCAGAGGAGGUAGUGUUGAUUCAGAGGAGGUGGUGUGCUGAUUCAGAGGAGGUGGUGUGCUGAUUCAGAGGAGGUGGUGUGCUGAUUCAGAGGAGGUGGUGUGCUGAUUCAGAGGAGGUGGUG
rnacentral:lncRNA from 1 species